UCUACAUCGCGAUUCGCCAUAAUUGUAC
rnacentral:sRNA from 1 species